GUUAGGAAUAUUGGACAAUGGGCGCAAGCCUGAUCCAGCCAUGCCGCGUGAGUGAUGAAGGCCUUCGGGUUGUAAAGCUCUUUAGUCCACGAAUAUAAUGACUGUAGUGGAAGAAUAAGCCCCGGCUAACUUCGUGCCAGCAGCCGCGGUAAUACGAAGGGGGCGAGCGUUAUUCGGAAUCACUGGGCGUAAAGCGUGCGUAGGCUGUUUUGUAAGUCAGAAGUGAAAGCCCAGGGCUUAACACUGGAAUUGCUUUUGAAACUACAAGACUCGAAUUCGGGAGAGGAUAGCGGAAUUGUCAGUGUAGCAGUGAAAUGCGUAGAUAUUGACAGGAACACCAGUGGCGCAAGCGGCUAUCUGGACCGAUAUUGACGCUGAGGCACGAAAGCGUGGGGAGCAAACAGGAUUAGAAACCCGGGUAGUCC
rnacentral:rRNA from 1 species